rnacentral:rRNA from 1 species
GACAGAGGGGGCAAGCGUUGCUCGGAAUCACUGGGCGUAAAGGGCGCGUAGGCGGGAUGGCAAGUCAGUCGUGAAAUCUCUCGGCUCAACCGAGAAACGUCGGCUGAUACUGCCGUUCUUGAGGGAUGCAGAGGAGACUGGAAUUCCCGGUGUAGCGGUGAAAUGUGUAGAGAUCGGGAGGAACACCGGUGGCGAAGGUGGGUCUCUGGGCAUCUCCUGACGCUGAGGAGGCGAAAAGCGUGGGGAGCCGAACAGG